UACGGAGGGGGGCAAGCGUUGUUCGGAAUUACUGGGCGUAAAGGGCGCGCAGGCGGCUGCUCAAGUCAGGCGUGAAAGGCCUGGGCUCAACCCGGGAAUUGCGCUUGAGACUGGGCUGGCUUGAGUCCGGAAGAGGGGGGCGGAAUUCCCAGUGUAGCGGUGAAAUGCGUAGAUGAUUGGGAGGAACACCAGUGGCGAAGGCGGUCCCCUGGGCCGGAACUGACGCUGAGGCGCGAAAGCGGUGGGUAGCAAACGGGG
rnacentral:rRNA from 1 species